rnacentral:lncRNA from 1 species
GACAGAGUCUUGCUCUGUUGCCCUGGCUGCAGUGCUGUGGCAUGAUCUCAGCUCACUGCAACCUCCGCCUCCUGGGUUCAAGGAAUUUGCUGGAAUUACAGGUACCUGCCACCAUGCUUGGCUAAUUUUGGUAUUUUUAGUAGAGACGGGGUUUCACCAUGUUGGCCAGGGUGGUCUCGAACUCCUGACCUCAGGCAGAUCACCUGAGGUCAGGUGUUCGAGACCAACCUGGCCAACAUGGUGAAAUCUUGUCUAACUAAAAAUACAAAAAUUAGCUGGGUGUGGUGGCACAUGCCUGUAAUCCCAGGUAUUUGGGAGGCUGAGGCAGGAUAAUCGUUUGAACCCGGGAGACAGAGGUUGCAGUGAGCCAAGAUCUUGCCACUGCACUCUAGCCUGGAUGACAGAGAAAGAUUCCGUCUCAAAAAAAAAAAAAAGAAAAGAAAAGCUUCACAUUCUUUCUUAAAAUGCUGUAGCAAUAUGUCAGCCUGUUUCUUUCAGAAGCCUUUUGUUAAAGGUUGAAGACGAUUAAAAAGAACAGAACAAAAUCAGAUUAUGUAUUUUGAUAGAUGUGAACAUAUAAAAAUUUUCUGAGCUUUUUUCCAAAAAUUUUUGAUGGCUGAUGUUCAUUUCCCUAUUAUAUUUACAAGUAGUACAUAUUUCAAAAA